rnacentral:rRNA from 1 species
UGGGGAAUAUUGGGCAAUGGGCGAAAGUCUGAUCUAGCAACACCGCGUGUGCGAAGAAGGCCUUCGGGUUGUAAAGCACUUUUUGGAAGGAAUAGGAAGGAAUGUACUUCCAGAAUAAGUCUCGGCUAACUACGUGCCAGCAGCCGCGGUAACACGUAGGAGGCGAACGUUAUCCGGAUUUACUGGGCGUAAAGCGCGUGUAGGUGGUUCUGUAAGUAGGGCGUGAAAGCUCCUGGCUCAACUGGGAGAGGCCGUUCUAAACUACAGAACUAGAGGAUGGUAGAGGGAGGUGGAAUUCCAGGUGUAGCGGUGGAAUGCGCAGAUAUCUGGAGGAACACCAGUGGCGAAGGCGGCCUCCUGGACCAUUCCUGACACUCAGACGCGAAAGCUAGGGUAGCAAACG